rnacentral:lncRNA from 1 species
CAUCAGCUGGUGCUUCUUGGUCAGCUGCAAGCAAGUACUGACCAGUGUGUGCUUUGAGAGAGGUGGGCAAUAUGAGGUACAGAGCUUGUCUGAUGCAGUAGGAGAAGGAAAAGGUAGAUGAGGGAUGUGUAGUAAGUAAAAAUACAAUAGAAGUGAUAAGUCAGAAAGAUAAUAUUUAUUGUGAUGUGUUAAAUGGUUUAGCAGGGAAAGCAAGUAGAUUUGUUGAAACCAGAAAGAGGAAGCUUCAGCUGUUGACAUGCAAGCCAAUGAAGAUCUGAACAAGAGCUUUAGCAAAUAAAAAUGGGCUGGGUCUUCAAGGUAGUAUGCAGGAAGAAAUGAAUCAGCUUAGUGUUGAACAGGUUGCUUCUUCUCUUGCCAGCUGCGCAUGUUGAAGAGAAUGCUUUUUGCCAUUCACAGGUUGAUUUAGAAAAAGGUACCAAUGCUUUUGGAAAUUUCUCAAGCAAAUCACUCAAUGCACUCUUCCCUAGCCAAGACAUCAUCAGGAAGCAGUAAGGACUGAGUCCUGCUUCACCCACAGGCCCCCAGGCUGACGCUCGGCCUGGUCCCUCAGAAGGUGCCUGUGGGGGCGGCCGCCACCAGGAGAGGAAGGGAGACGUCUAAUGGCACCCUGGGUCCUCCAGGCACACGGAUACAUAGGAGCUCAGCCACCAGCUUGACCGAGAACCUGCCUCUUCUGUCAGUUGUACUUACACUUUUGUCUGCUUUUAUGCUGAUAAAAUGCCACUGACGUCAGCUACAGCAAACCUUCAGUGCUUGAUAUAUGUGCGAGCAAGAAGAGAAUCAGGGCCAUAUUAAACAAACAAAUGUCAGUCAUCAAGGAGUAAGAGCUCAGAGAAAAGGUGAGUGAAAGGGGCUUGGUGGAGCUCUUCCUACAUGCUCAAAGGUAAUACGUGGUUGGGUUUAUAUAAAUAAAAGUCAGG